UCCUCUAGUUUGGAGCAAAACGAACACAAACAGAUAGGGCUUCUGCGCUCCGGCGGCGGGACCUCGUCGUGUGCGGUGCUGCGACCUCGGGCAAUCAAUCUCGCCAUGGUGCUCCGACCUUCAGCAGGCAGCCCGCGCCACCUCCCUCCGCGAUUCUCCACCUCGACACCACCCUCUCCCACACACGGCGCCAGAUCCGGCAUCCACCAACGCCGGAGAAGAAACUCCUGCCUUCAGGAAAGAAUUUUGCUAGCUGGUGUCUGAUCUCUCAAUGCCCAGGGGAAAGAAUAGCAUUUCUUGACACUGCCUUGCCCAGGGUCAGAUUAUGCAUCAAAAAAUAACAUGCUUGCAUUUGAAUUUGGAAAUUAUUCAUGCAGCAACCGGAAGGGCCAUAGCCUCUGCUUGUAAUGGGGAAGUGGCAUGUUUACCAGCUGCUGACACAAAGAUGUUUGUACUUCAUUUUCUUCAACUUCUCUGUAUUCCUCUAGGGAAUGGAUUCAAUGGCAAGUAUUCCUCCAGGGAAUGGAGUCGAUGGCAAGUAUUCCUCCAAGUCUCAGACCAACAACAGUGAUGAGACUUGAACUUAUUUGAUGUUUUGCGGCACAACACAGCCCAUGGGAGCCAACAUCAUUUACUUUGCGUUAAAUGCCGGAUUAGAAAGGCCUUCGUUCAUGUGCUAUAUGAACCUAGUUCCAUUGGUUUAGACUUCUGCUACAACUUGUACACCAAGUUAAUCUAUUAUACCUUGAGUUGUAAAUAAUAUUUGGAUUGCAACUCUAGUUAUGUGCU